rnacentral:lncRNA from 1 species
UUCCAGGUCUCAUAUGGGCUCACGUGCUCUGCUUGAGCUCCUCUUUCCUGUGUCACCAUCUAAAAAGUAUCCUUGGUCAGAAAGCUUAAUACCUCCUCUGAAGACUGAUAAUAUACAUCAUCUUCCUGGACCAGUCUACAAGUGAGGGACAGUGAAUAUUUUGAAUGGCAGCUUUUAGGAACCAGCACGAGGUUGCCUUCUAAUUCACGUGUCUCAUCAUUUCACUGAAGAUGUAUGGAACGCUUCCCCCUUUCAAAGUGUUAAGUACUUUGCUGUCAGCAUCACCAUCACAGCCUGCGAACUCGACACUAAAGAGAGAGAAGUGGAAAAGGCAAAUUUUGGAGAAAAUAAGCAGAAGGCAUGGGGACUGGAAGUUGUGAGGUACGAUGAGGCUUUUGCUGAUACAGGAAUGAUGUCCUCACCCACUGGGCCAUAGGAGUGGCCUCCCAGGAUCAAAGAACAUGGGGAGCCAGCACUGUAUUUUGAAUCAGUAAAUUGUCACAGUUUUUUAUUGGCUGGACCCAGGAAAGCAUGAAACUGGCUGGAAUUGCAGGAGAUAUUUGAGUUAGACACGUCAGAGGACUUCCUGGCCUGAAGGGCACCAGCAUGAGAGAAUAAAGUUAUUUCUGUCGCUGUCAUACUUGCUUUUUUUUCUCUGCCCUUUUCCUCUCUCUUUGGAACAUUUUUUUCUCAUUCCUCCUGCAUUUCCCUCACUGAUUUCAGCCAGGACGAAGAAAGAGCUUCAUUACUAUGAACUUGCUUGUGGCUGGAGGAAUUGAAGUGGAGACGCUGACUCCCGUGAGCUUGGAGACUGCAGGGAUGACAACCUUAUGUUACAUUGAUGUGUUCUCAUUUUUGUUGAGUAUGACUAUACUUCUGUACAUUUUAUUUCACUCUUUAAACAUUUAUGUUCCUGUGUUAUGAUUAAUU